rnacentral:tRNA from 1 species
GCGCCUGUAGUUCAGUGGUAGAACCAUAGCCUUCCAAGCUAUUAGCGUCAGUUCGAUUCUGACCAGGCGCU